rnacentral:ncRNA from 1 species
UUGAUAGAGGCGCGAAAAUUAAGAGUACUGCUUAUAAAAAAUCAGGAAUAAAAGCAGAAAAGGAAUUUUCGCCGAAGUGGUUUAAUGAAUCCUGAAUGGUUAAACUGCUGGGCUGAUGCAGAAUAUGUAUCAGACUGUCACAUGAACAUGAAUGUGGAGUGCUAUCA